UGGGGAAUUUUGGACAAUGGGCGAAAGCCUGAUCCAGCAAUGCCGCGUGUGUGAAGAAGGCCUUCGGGUUGUAAAGCACUUUUGUCCGGAAAGAAAUGGCUCUGGUUAAUACCUGGGGUCGAUGACGGUACCGGAAGAAUAAGGACCGGCUAACUACGUGCCAGCAGCCGCGGUAAUACGUAGGGUCCAAGCGUUAAUCGGAAUUACUGGGCGUAAAGCGUGCGCAGGCGGUUGUGCAAGACCGAUGUGAAAUCCCCGAGCUUAACUUGGGAACUGCAUUGGUGACUGCACGGCUAGAGUGUGUCAGAGGGGGGUAGAAUUCCACGUGUAGCAGUGAAAUGCGUAGAGAUGUGGAGGAAUACCGAUGGCGAAGGCAGCCCCCUGGGAUAACACUGACGCUCAUGCACGAAAGCGUGGGGAGCAAACAGG
rnacentral:rRNA from 1 species